GCAAUAAUAGCUUAAAAAGAGCAUUGGUCUUGUAAGCCAAAGGUGAAACAGAAUUUUCUUAUUGCU
rnacentral:tRNA from 1 species